ensembl:lncRNA
GUGGUGAUGGAGCUGUUGAGGCAGUAGCUCUUAAAUUGUGGCGCUCUGCUCGCUGCGCCUUUCUGCAAACUUUAGACUGCAGUUUGUGUAAAUGUUUUAUGUUGAACUUUGAAAUCUGUAAUUGUUUGGCUCCAGGGUGAUAUUGGGUUCUCUCCUGCCUUAUAAAGCACUCUAAUAUAUUAUACUUUAUUGCCUUUCUUACUUAGUGAAAUUACUUAAAACGGACAAAUGAAUCCGGAAAACACUAAAUGGUGAAUAUUGAAUUAGCCUGCCAUGUUGUUCGUUUGAUGAAGUUUCUUUAUAUUUACAGAAAAAACUGGCUGAAUUGAGUCCUCGAAUUGUUGACUCUGAAGUGAAGCACCAACAGUCAGUUUCCUCCGUCACACCGUUUGAGCAACACCAUUCUUUGAUGCAUCCUGCUGUGGUUAGAGGCGUUGAUCCUCUUUUUGGGGUUCUUUAUAAGCAGGCAAGGCUCUGAAGCAUUGAGCAACAGGAGCCGCGCAUGAAAGCAAUACCUUUCACAGCGUUUUUUAAUACACACAUGUUGUGUAUCUAGAACAUCCCCACCUGCCGCCACCACCAACCGAACUCACAAUGCCCUCCAUCCGUCUUUCCCUCUUUAUCCUGGGUUUGGUUGUGGCUUGUGUCUCAGGUGAAAAAUCAAAUACCACUUCAAACCCCACAAAUUCAAACUCCAAAAUUUCAAACUCCGAAACUUCAAACUCCGAAACUUCAAAUGUAAAUGGCUCCACUACCGCCACUCAAACAUCCCUCAACGCCAUCACCACCACCGGAACCACCACCAAUGCCACCGAUGCCUCAAGCUACACACCGAGCAGCAGCGCCAUCUCGCCCUCGACAGCAACGCAGACCGGAUUCUCCAGUUCAAGUGGGGGAAGUGUCAAAACAACAAGCGCACCUAGAACCACGGACAAAAUGACAACAACUACCACCAAAGUACACAAAAAGGAGACAACCACCACUGCUAAGCCAGCUGAGACGGCGUCAGUGGACACCACCGGCAUUAUCAUCCUAGUUGUGAUCGGCGUCGUAAUCCUUGGAUUUGGAGUUUGCUGCUACUUACAGCGGAAUAGAAGAAGGCGGUACUCUGUGGACUUCACCUCCAGACCGGAUGAAGCCAACAUCCCUCUCAGCACCAUGGAGCCCGAGUUACAGGUCGAUGCCGCGCCUCAGAACGGACUGCAAACCUUUGAAAGGGAAGAAGCUAAGACAGAGAUGCGAGAACCAGAGGCCAAGCCUGAAGCAAAGGAGGAGCAGAAAGGUGAGGCUGAGGAAUCUCACGUUGGUCCCGGGGCUGAGUCUGCUGCCCCGGCGGCGACCCCAGAGAGCCCCGCGGACGAACCCAAAGCGGCCGCCGUUGAGCAGAGUCCCCCCGCGCCCGUGGAGCCAAGUGUGGACGAGAAAACCGACGAAGAAGGCGACGUCUCCAACAAGACCUCUGUGGAGUCGCUGAAAGAGACCAACGAGAACAACAGCAAUAAUGCCGACUUCAAUGCGACUGGAGAUGUGAUCAGCAUCAACUUCUGGGACGUUCCUCUCAAUAGUCCGCUGUGAGACAUUUCACCUAUCUGUGCUGUUCUUCAGGAACUUGAUUGAAGGAGUGACCACGACGGAGAAGGGCACGUCUGCUCGUACCGUGUGAGAUAUUUAGCGGGCUGUUUUCUCCUUGUUAGAAACAAAUUUACUGCAGCAGAGCAGCUUUUUCCCAGUUAAACGUUAGCUGAACUCUGAGUUUUAAGCAUUUUAGUGAUUUAACGGUGACUAUUUAGUUGGUCUAUAUACUAAAUGUGAUUACGUUUGGUACUGCAGAACAGUAAUACACGUUGAAUUUCAUCUCCCAAGCCAUUCAGCUUUUAUAAACUUAUAUAAACAUAUUAUACGUGGUUUCUAACACACUGAGAUGUAGUUUUAAGCAGCCAUAAUUUACUCUUUUUGUGGAAAUAUAUUAAUAGAGUAAAAUACAUUUGUAUUAAUAUACUUUACAUUAAUCAAACCUAACUGAUAUUCUUUCAUCACAUAACGAUAAACACAUUUGUAAAUAAUGAUGUAUAAAUAAGCAAGACGUUAUAAGAUUGUCAGAUUUAAAUCAGUGUUCUUUCUUAAAUUUAUGAUGUAAUGGUAUUUUGUAACUCAUGCAUUUUGAUUUUUUCAUGUGUUUCCCAUUCAGUAGUGUGAAGGUUUAUGCUAAAAAUUGCAAUGAAUGAUGAAAAGUAUUGUAAUUUGUCUUGAAUGUUUUUUGCAAUGAAUUUCCUUUACAGUUCAUAGGCGCCAUCUUGGCUAAUCUUAACCGACCACAUUACGUAAUGAAAAAAGUGACACAAACCAGCAGGUUGUUAACUGUAAAACAAAAUGAACAAACUAAAGAUGGGUCAAUGUUUCUUUUUACCAGAAAUCAUUUUGCUUAUAAAAUAAAAUAACUUGAUCAACAUUAUAUUCAUCAUGUAACCUUCAAUCCACAAUUGUUAUUCACAUUUCUGAUUAACAUCAAUAAACUGUAUACUCGCACAUCUUUGGCCUCUAAAAAUAAUCACCAUACAGUUUUUUCUGCUCACUUUCACCAGCUGUUCUUUUAGAUAUAAAAAUUGUAUCUGGUAGUAGACGUGUACAGUCAUUAUUGCUAAAUAAACCUUCAACAGAUGGAGGUUGAAUCUUAUUUUUGUUUUGUUUUAUGCAUUUUAUUUUUUGCUUUAUUUACUGUGUUUCAGAAAAAUGAUCUUACAAUACAGCACAAUUAUUUGGUGUGUGUCCAAUUAAAUAUGGAUCUAGACUCUUGUUUAAUUUCCUGAGCCAAAUAAUAUUUUUAUAAUUUCCAUUUACAGUAAUGUGUUGCCCAGUGUUUGGGUCUGAUCCAGCUUCUAUAUCCAGCCUAUUUCCACAGGCUUCCGCUCUCCUUUACAGACAAGUGAUGCUUUAAUCCACCAGUAGGCGGGUGAAAUGUUGCACUGAGCCUGCGGUGCAGCAGUGACGGCAAAAGCAGGUCUAAAUGUCGUAUGCUUACCGCUCAAACCUGACCGCAGUCAUGGACACCCUGCACCAAAUCAUCCAGUGCAGCAGAACACAAACCUGUUCCUCCUCGGAACUGGAUCCAAAUGUCUCAGGUCUCAGUAUCCUCUAUUUAUAAGCUGUGUAUAUUUACAACGGGCCGGAUGAUCAGGACGCUCGCGAGUAAUGAAGAGAAUGCGGGGGGAACUUUUAUCUUCUUCGGCUAUUCGGAGGAGUCAGGGAGUUUAUCAGAGAUGAAGGAUCUUGCUGACGUCACUUCUUGUUUUCAAAGAAUUGGUCAGAGCUACUUUUUUUGAGCUACUUCCCACAUUCUGCAGUUGAUCUGAUAGUUAACUGCACCAUCAUAAUGUUUGACGCAGGAAGGCAAGGCUUGGUGGUAAUUCUAUACGUCACAAUAGUGACUGAGGCUGAGCAAAUAUCCGGUAUAUUUGUUGGUGUCUUAAAAGGUGUUGUCAAUGCAUGUAGCAGUGUAGCAGUUCUAUGAGCUCACACAUGUUCAUCAAUGUCUCUCCUAUGAAUGUGUCCGGUAGCGUAGCUGUGACGCUGCAGAGGUUUACCUGCACACUCUGUACUGUCUCCAGGGGCAACCACAAACUCAGUGACACAUAUUGAGUGCCCUGCACAGCUGGACUGAGCCCUUCAUCAGCUGUAUGACUGCUUGCGAUGCUCUUGAGUGAGAAGAGUUAUGGACAAGACCCAGAAAGUGAUGAAUGAUGAUUGAAACUGUUACCGGGACGUAAAAACUGCAAGAAGAGGAAAAAGAGCAAAGCCUGUCCUCUCCCUGUGUGGCUUUCAGGGUUACGGGGAUCCACUCGGGCUUUGUUUUCCAUCUAUCAUGAGGUUGUUACCGCCUGCUGUCAUCAUUGGCUGCCCCUGGAUGAAGAGUUGAUCCACGGGCAGCGCGGCUUGGAAUCGACCCAACUUCCCUUUCUGUUUAGACGCUCAUUAGAGGGAUGUUGCCUCUUUGACAUAUAAACUGGACAAAGUCAAACUAAUGGCUUAAUGAAUGCCAUGCUGCAGCCCGAGAAAAUAUGCAUUUAGUAGCUGUUUCCUUUUCCAUAUCAACGACCACCCACAGCUGGGGAGAAUUCAUUUCUUACACAUUCGGGAAUCAAUAUUUGCAUACGCUUUUUUAAAGAUGAUCCAUGUCUGAUUCUUUUAGUACAAAGGGUAUAAUUUUUUUGGGAAAACACUCCUUCUAUAUCAGAAGAAUGUGGGUGAAACCAGGAAUAACAGUAUAAAAAGUAUAAAAAGUAUGUUUAUUUAUAUAGUUACAGUACAUACUGUGGUGUGUGUGUCUCUGUUUUUAUUCUUGGCAGGUCAAGUGAGGAGGGCAAGAUAUAUUUAGGGGAUGCAAUGAAAAGUGUGAUACACAAUGUCUGUAUACAAAUGGCAUCUUUGCUAUUUGGCCACGCUUCAGAGUGUUCGUAGUAUUUUCCUAAAAGCAUUAUACACUCAAAUAAAAAGAAGAACCUUCACUAAGUAAUGAUUGAAAUUUUUAUAGUAGAUAUCAAACCAGACUUAGAUAAUUAUGUGAUUACGGUGUUCCAAAUAUUUUCAGACAAAAUACUUUCUUUCUUGCAUUCUUGUGUUUACAGAUUAUUGAUCAUAAGCACUUUAAUAGUUAUAUAGUUUUUAGAAAGAUAUUAGAAAAGGUAACUGUAUAUGAGAAUGAUCCAGCUAUGCAGUAAUACAUCAUGUGAUCAAGUGACUGUAAAAGUUAAAAAAGAAUGUAAACCAUUGUGUUUGGAAGAAACGUUCAAGCCGUGCACGCGGUCUGUGUUCGGCACAACUCAAAAGAUGAUCCAUAAAAGGCUACUAGGUAUUUUUAUCUUAACAUGACCUUGUGCACCGCACUCAGUACACAUUCUCACAUUCUCCCUGCAUCCAGUGCUUGAUUUCUCCAUACUGCGCUGUGUCAGUGUCACUGCAGUAAAAUCUUAUUCCCUCUCAAUUCUGAGAUACCCAAGAUUGGACACUGCAGGGUUUAGGUCUUAAGUCAAUGGACGGCCUUUGGCCCAGUGACGAUGUGGAAUUGUUGCUACAGAACUUAUUCUUCAAGUGCCUGGGCGGUAUUUUCAACUACGUUGUCCUUUCCUUGUGUGUGUGUGUGUGUGUGUGUGUGUGUGUGUGUGUGAGACCAAACACCUGUCCAGCCUUCUGUGUGGGACUAACGGCCAGUCCGGUGCCGAGCUGUCCCACCAACUCGACCUCAGAUGCACUUGUGAGAAGGACAC